rnacentral:rRNA from 1 species
UACGAAGGGGGCUAGCGUUGCUCGGAAUUACUGGGCGUAAAGGGCGCGUAGGCGGGUCGUUUAGUUAGAGGUGAAAGCCCAGGGCUCAACCCUGGAAUUGCCUUUAAUACUGGCGGCCUUGAGUAUGGCAGAGGUGUGUGGAACUCCGAGUGUAGAGGUGAAAUUCGUAGAUAUUCGGAAGAACACCAGUGGCGAAGGCGACUGACUGGACAAGUAUUGACGCUGAGGUGCGAAAGCGUGGGGAGCAAACAGG